rnacentral:rRNA from 1 species
UCGAUUGAGUUUGAUCAUGGCUCAGGAUGAACGCUGGCGGUCUGCUUAACACAUGCAAGUCGAACGGAACUCUUCGGAGUUUAGUGGCGGACGGGUGAGUAACGCGUGAGAAUCUGCCCUUAGGUUGGGGACAACAGCUGGAAACGGCUGCUAAUACCCAAUGUGCCGAGAGGUAAAAGCUUAAUGUGCCUGAGGAUGAGUUCGCGUCUGAUUAGCUAGUUGGAGUGGUAACGGCACACCAAGGCGACGAUCAGUAGCUGGUCUGAGAGGACGAUCAGCCACACUGGGACUGAGACACGGCCCAGACUCCUACGGGAGGCAGCAGUGGGGAAUUUUCCGCAAUGGGCGCAAGCCUGACGGAGCAAGACCGCGUGGGGGAAGAAGGUUUGUGGAUUGUAAACCCCUUUUGAUUGGGAAGAACACAAUGACGGUACCAAUCGAAUCAGCAUCGGCUAACUCCGUGCCAGCAGCCGCGGUAAUACGGAGGAUGCAAGCGUUAUCCGGAAUUAUUGGGCGUAAAGCGUCCGUAGGUGGCAUUGCAAGUCAGUUGUUAAAGCGCGGGGCUUAACCCCGUAAAGGCAAUUGAAACUGCGAAGCUAGAGUGCGAUAGGGGCAAGGGGAAUUCCCAGUGUAGCGGUGAAAUGCGUAGAUAUUGGGAAGAACACCAGCGGCGAAAGCGCGUGACUGGGCCUGAACUGACACUCAUGGA